CCAAGGUGGGUCUUUGGUGAAAGUGAAGUGGCUGGCUCACACUUCCAAAAGCGAGGGAUAAACUGUACCGCUGCUCCCCUUUUAAAGGGUGAGGAAACCGAGACUCAGAAAGAUUAGGCAACUUGUCCAAGGCCACACAGCUACUCUUCUCAAAGAAACACGCUGCACUCACUCCCUGAGACUAGCCUGGAGGAGAAACUUCUUUGGUAUAAUAACCCAAUUCCUGUAUCUACCCCCCCCCCCCAAUUCCCCGCUCCCCAGGGCCCUCGGGACGCUUGCUGCUGCCCACAGACCCGUAACUAGAGGGCAGAACUCGGACGCUGGAGCUCAGAGGCGGCUCUGCACCAACCAGGCCCUGCUUGGAGGGGCCGCAGCACUUGGCCGGCGCUCCCUUCUCCCUCCUGCUACCUGGAGCUCGCCUGUAGGUGGCGCCCUGAUUCGCUCAGGGGAACUUGGAGAACGUGGACACGGGUCACCAGCUGCCUCCCCUAAAGGCCAAUUAAAAUAGUCUCUUGGCGAGCUCUGCAAAGGAACCUUGGCAAUGUGGCCGUGCCCCCCUGCCCGGUCUGUCUUCCACCUCUCCGCCCUCCCCCACUCGGGGCUGGCGCGCCGGGCGAGCAGUUAGCCUGAGCUUCCUCCGAGGUAGGGUUCAGGCGCCGAUCUCCAAGCGCUCUAGGCCGAGCCAGCCGCCCCUGGUUUUUGUGCUUGGAUCCCCGGGCCUUGAGCCUACCCCCUCCGCUCCCUCCCCGCACCCCCUUUUGCCGGCAGCUGGAGCGGGGGUGGAGGGAUGGGGGAGAGUGUGACCCCGUGAGUGCUGGGCGGGGCGGGGCAGCUUUAAAAAACUUCUGAAAGGCCUCGUUCAAAGCCUCCGAGAACAGAACUUGGGCCGGAAGGCGGUUUCCAAGGAGGGGCCUAAAAGGGGGCGGGGGUGCACCUGCAGGGCCAAGAGCUCCCCAGCCUGGGAAGGGGGGUUCGGUGGCCCGCGGGACCUGAAGCCCCCGCCCUGCACUCGCCGCCUGGCCUCGGCCUCCUCUUCCUUAAAGCCCUGGCCCCAUGGGGGGGGGGGGGGCGGGCGGAGGAGGCUGUUAGUCCUUCCAGGGACCCUUCGCUUUCAUCUUCCCUACGGGAAGGCAGGGCGGCGGGGUGGGGGGCUGCUCUGGCCCGCGAUCUCCGCAGGGUCUUCCUUCCCUCCAGCCCCUCCCUAGGAAACUAAGAUUUCGCAGCAAAAUUGAAUUCCCGGAUUUUAAUUACAAUCCACUCCGGUGGGAGACAGCUGAGCAAUUGGGCAUCACGAUGGAGGGAACGUUCCCAUUUUACAUCCCACCCCCCCCCCCAUAAAAUCACUGGGGAGGGCGAGAAGGAAAGCCUAGGAGUGGCCCGCGCUGGGUGGUGGAGGCGGGAAGGGGGCGGCCAGGGACGGCGGAUGGGAUAGUGGCCCCGGCGGCGUCUGGAGCCGCUGCUGUCGCUCUGCGCGCUGGUUGUGCCAUCUGGGGGCACUUGAAGAGGGGCCGCCGGACCGCCGCUGGCCGGGGCCUCUCUACCGCAGACAGAGAGCGGACGCCGUCCCUCGUGAGGCCAAGAGAGAGGGACUAAGGGGAUUUUCAUUAGUACCGCAUUAUAAGGAUCAUCAUCCUGCAAAGUCCUUCCUAUAGAGGCUCUUGAAUGACUUAGGUAAAUGAUUUGCUCCAUUUGUAGUUUCUGAAGAAGAAAUUCUCAGAACUUUUGAAACUGAGCGCUUUAGCGAGGGAGCAAGUACGUGGAGGCUCCUCUCGGAGGGUUUCACUACCCGCAGAGUCGUGUGGGGACAAUUGCUGAGUGGGUUAGUGAGGACACCGGGGGAAGAGGUACAAGGGGGAUCGCGUGGAGCUGCACGAUUUAGUAAGAAGAAUCGCUAAAAAAUAAUCUGCAUAAAGUUUAUUCUUUCGCUUGGGGUCCUCUUCCUUGAUCUGAGGAAAUAAAAUACAUGAGAACUGGGCGGUGGUGGUGUUUUCCAAUUAAGACUUAUUACACUUUCUCAAAGAACUUGAAAGAGUUAGUUUGGUGAAUUUUAAGAACAAUAGUGGCUGUCAUUACAGGCAGCAAAGAUGUAGCGAACUGAGCGGUGGAUUCCGAAGAGUUUGGUUGCAACAUUAACUCUCAAAUUUAGUGUCUACUUCAUUUAAAAAGGGGGAGGGGGGUUAGAAAACCCUUUAGGGAAGGAAAAAAGACCGAAGGAAAAAUAGAGCCAUGGAAACAAAAAGAGGGAGGCGAGAUUAACUGUAAGAGUCUGGUCUUCAUUGAGUCCCCAGUCGGCCUCCUAAUGCACCACACAUUUCUGUAGCGUUAACUUUAUCCGGAAUAUUGGUGGGCCUGGUCUCUAAGCGCUUCCUAAGAAAGGACAGACUUAAAAUGUUUUCCCUUUUGUGAAGGUCUAGCACUUGCUACAUUAAGCAGCCCUGACGGAAAAAGGGGUACUCCCGCUCUCCUGGGCUGCUUUAAAAUCUGCAGGUGUGUGUAACAUCCCUAACGCCCAGCAUCCCCGGCGCUGGAGGCGGGACCCGCCGGUGGACAGAAACAGGUGACCCGUAUGCAGUGCGCCCCCGAGUACUCUGCUCUGACAUUUUAGCAGGCAAGGACUGGUGUGUUGAAACUAUCCUCCUGAUGUUAGCAAAGCUAAGAGAUCGGGUUUCCUACAAACUUGGCCACUCUACCCCCAGCACUCUGGGUAUACAGGAUGAAAGCAACAUUUUUAUCCCUUAAGACUAAAAUGUAACCUUUAAAACACUCCCAGUACAGGGUUGGAAGCAUGUCAAGGGCUCAAAGGCAAGCUUGUGCUGCACACAGGGCAAGUGCAACUUAUCAUGGUAAACAGUAAGAAACUUUGUAAAAGUUAGAAUGGCCACUCAAAGAGAUAGUUUGAGAACAUGCUGCAAAAUAGCCUGGUAACCACCAGACGACCAGAAAUACCUGGGGGAUGCAUGUGUGUUCCCAAAGGCGGGGUAGUUGAGACUUGGUGCACUGGUUUGGGAUGUGUUAAAGUUUAUGGAAAGCAGUCCUUCCUUAUCCGUACCCUCAUGAACCCAGAAGGUUAUACUUUCUGGGCAAAAGACUCUUAGUAAUUUUCCCUUCAGAGUUAUGGGAUCCAGAACCUUUAUAAGCUCAGAGAAAUCACAAAACUUACACACUCCGCGAUUUUUCUCUUGAGUUCAUUAUACAAAAUACCAAAACCUUCAGAUCAAAAUAAUUAAAUGAUUUGUCUUAGAAACUCCAGCAAAAGUUUCUGGAGAUGAAGGCUGUGUUAGGCCCAUUCCUCAGCAGUAGGGUGAGGGGUCAGACAACAAACUGGCACAAACACAGGAUUUCACCCGCAUUGGCACCCACAUCCCCAUCCUGGGUCCACACUCUGCCAGCUAAAGAACAAAAAUGUAUGCACUUCAAGUGUGUGAGGAGCAAGGCUUUUCAUACACACACACACACACACACACACAACAGGGUCCGAGCACACACUCACAAAACACAAAAGGGGGGACUUAACUUCGGCCGUUGAGGGGAAAGGCUACCGGAAAAGAAGUCUGGGGACUUCCAGCCAACACUGAAAACAGCCUUGGAGGUCUACAACCUGUCUGCUCCAGAGGCAGUCAGUACAUUCCAGCAGCCCCCACAGCCCCACAAUUAUCAGUGCUGUGGUUCAAAAGUUGGAAACUGCGGUUUUUAAUUGGGGCUCCUUCUCCCCCCUUCCUCUUCAGCGGCUCCUCUCUAUAAGCGGAUUUGCUUUUCCAUGCAUCGCUGGCAAGUCGCUUUUAGGAAAUCUUGCCUCUGCAAAAACCUUUUAAACGUGGUAAUAUAUUGCAGUCUUAUUAAGUCCCCUCCAGAAGUGUGUGAAAAGGGCUCUCUGUUUUCCUGAAAGAUUCAGGAACUCGACUAUCUGACCAAAGACUCAGACUGGCCUAAGGAAGGUUUGGAUUGACUCCACUCUACGCUCACGGGAAAGCAGCGCAUUUUGUUUUUGGUUUUGUUGUUUGGUCUGGCUCGUUUUGUAACACCUAGGAGAUUUUUAAAUCACACAAUGCUCCCCCCAAAGGAAAAAAAGCAUUGAACUUGUUCCCUUCAUUACAAGACACCCUAGAAGUCUGUCUGAGAGAAGGGGCUGCUGAGUAGGUGGGACCACGAAUUAAUGUGGAGAACUAGGUCGUCUGGGCCAAGUUCCUGGGGCAAGAAGACACGGAGGGGAGGGCACAAAAGUUUCUCACAGGUUGCCAUUAAAAAGGGGGGCCAGUGCAAAGAGCCCCUUCUAAAGUUCAGUUGUGCUGAGCAUCCGAACAUCCUUACGGGACAGCCAUCCGGGAGCCCCGCGGAUUUCAGCUUCCACCGCGAAAGUAAGGGUCGGUUCCACCGCGUCGCUCCCUCCUUCCCCUAGGGAUGCGCCAGGCGGGCUGCCGAGAAGGGGGCGCGCCGAGGGGUCAGCUCCGGGGCCAGAGGGCGGCGCCCGGCCGCCGCGCACCGCGGCCUCCUCUGGCGGCCUCACGGUCAUGACCUUGCCGGGCUGCUCCCCACCUCCUGCUUAUUCGGUCCACCUGCCGUCGCCCCAACCCCCCUCCAGGCCUGGAGUGGGGGAUCCCCGUCGUCCUGGUUGGUGGUGAUGGAGGGUAGAUUUAAUUUAUUUGCUCUCAGUUUCCCCAGUACCUCUGAAACUGGCAAAGUCCGCGGUCCACUAGGGACUGUGAUCAGUGAAGUCGUCCCCCGGACGCCGGACGUCUUGGAAAGCUCUGCGCGGCCAGACGCCCACAGCUUCUGGAUGCUAAGUUGCUGCGGGCAGGGAGGAAAGAAACUCGCCAGAUUUCUCAUCUUUGGCUCCCGAAAUUUUUGGAAAUAUAGAUGUGUUCCUGGAAUGUCUUCACCAGAUGUUUACCCAAGAAAUUACAGUCGCUGAGUCUUCGACAUGUGCGUGCAUUUUAAAAGCAGUAUUUUAGAUCUGAACCUAGUUAAUGAUUUUCUUUGCUUUCUUUUAUAUAUUAAAAAAAAAAAAGAGAGGAUUUUAGUUUUGCCUGCAAGUGAUCCGACUCUUUACAGAGUCUGCGUUAACGUCACUCACUUUCACUCUGGGACGUGCUAGUCUCACAGUCUAGUUUUGUUCAGACUUUAUUUUGCUCCAAGCUGCAUUACAAGCCACUUGUCCACGCUGCAAAAGGUGGGGGUAGGGGGUCGGGGUGACAGGCCCUUUUGCUCUUUCCCUCCCCGCGUACGCUCGCUCGAAGCAGCCCCGAAUCCUUCCCCUCGGCUCUGCGCGCGCGCGCACACACACACGCGCGCGCACACACACGUGUGCCAUGCAUGUGUGGGGCCUACGGAUCUGUGUAUCCGCGCGUUUGUGAUUUAAAGUGACAGACCACGAGCUGGACUGGAGCAGUGAAUUAUUUUGCGUGAUAAAUCAACUUGAUUGUCUCCACACUGUACUUCCAUUAUUCACCCGAGCGCUCGGUGGUUACGGCGGACGUGCACUGCGGCAAAAAUGUCCUCGGAGCCGCUAAUUUUGUGGCCACUGCGGCGGCUGCGGCGGCGGCGCGGGGGCGCGAGCACGGAUUGAUUUUUCAAGAUCACGUCUCCUUCAGUGCAACUCGCCAAAUCGAAUCGAGUUGACUGCAGAAGCCUCACUGGAUGCCUGUGGAUUGGGUUUUGUACCUGAGAUUUUUUUUUAAUACUUUUUUCUCUGGAGGGAGGAGCCGAGCUGUUGGUGCAGGAAGGGGGAUAUAUACCUUUUCUGUUUUAUUUUCCUUUUACGCUCUUUUAAAAAAAAAAGAAAGAAAAUGAAAAUGGCUACCACCGCUUCCUGAGCACUGGGGAGACCAGACCUUUGCAGAUUGGGAGAUGAUGCUUUAAAUCCUCUUUUUCCCCCCUCUGUUCCUCCCCCCUCCCUUCCUCAACCCCAUCCGCCUCCUGUCAGCUCUGCGACAGCAAGGGAAAAAAAAUGGUCCUAGGCUCUUGUGCGGGUCAUUUGUCCUCAGUCUCGCUUUUUUCUUGGACAACUAGUUACCAAUUUUUUUUUUCCUUUUUACAACUUGAUCCUUUUUAUCUGGAUUCGAGUUGUUAAUAAAAAUGUGUCCAGAAUAUG